GACGAACGCUGGCGGCGUGCUUAACACAUGCAAGUCGAACGGAAAGGCCCUGCUUUUGUGGGGUGCUCGAGUGGCGAACGGGUGAGUAACACGUGAGUAACCUGCCCUUGACUUUGGGAUAACUUCAGGAAACUGGGGCUAUUACCGGAUAGGAGCUCUUGCUCCAGGGGGGGGGUGGGAAAGUUUCGGCGGUUGGGGAUGGACUCGCGGCUUAUCAGCUUGUUGGUGGGGUAGUGGCUUACCAAGGCUUUGACGGGUAGCCGGCCUGAGAGGGUGACCGGCCACAUUGGGACUGAGAUACGGCCCAGACUCCUACGGGAGGCAGCAGUGGGGAAUAUUGCACAAUGGGCGGAAGCCUGAUGCAGCAACGCCGCGUGCGGGAUGACGGCCUUCGGGUUGUAAACCGCUUUCGCCUGUGACGAAGCGUGAGUGACGGUAAUGGGUAAAGAAGCACCGGCUAACUACGUG
rnacentral:rRNA from 1 species